UUUGACACGACAUUGCUCACAUUGCUUCCAGUGUAAUUUAUAGCUUUUUGGCGAGGCGGACGUAUU
rnacentral:antisense_RNA from 1 species